rnacentral:rRNA from 1 species
GUUAGGAAUCUUCCACAAUGGGGGCAACCCUGAUGGAGCAACACCGCGUGCUGGAUGAAGGCCUUCGGGUCGUAAACAGCUUUUGUAUACGAAGAAUAUGACGGUAAUAUACGAAUAAGGGUCGGUUAACUACGUGCCAGCAGCCUCGGUCAUACGUAGGACCCAAGCGUUAUCCGGAGUGACUGGGCGUAAAGAGUUGCGUAGGUGGCUUAUUAAGCGAGUAGUGAAAUCUGGUGGCUAAACCAUCAACACAUUGCUCGAACUGAUAGGCUUGAGAAUGGUAGAGGUAGUUGGAAUUUCUUGUGUAGGAGUGAAAUCCGUAGAUAUAAGAAGGAACACCAAUGGCGUAGGCAGACUACUGGACCAUUUCUGACGCUGAGGCACGAAAGCGUGGGGAGCGAACCGGAUUAGAAACCCUUGUAGUCC